GAUGAACGCUGGCGGCGUGCCUAAUACAUGCAAGUCGAGCGAACGGACGAGAAGCUUGCUUCUCUGAUGUUAGCGGCGGACGGGUGAGUAACACGUGGAUAACCUACCUAUAAGACUGGGAUAACUUCGGGAAACCGGAGCUAAUACCGGAUAAUAUUUUGAACCGCAUGGUUCAAAAGUGAAAGACGGUCUUGCUGUCACUUCUCGAUGGAUCCGCGCUGCAUUAGCUAGUUGGUAAGGUAACGGCUUACCAAGGCAACGAUGCAUAGCCGACCUGAGAGAGUGAUCGGCCACACUGGAACUGAGACACGGUCCAGACUCCUACGGGAGGCAGCAGUAGGGAAUCUUCCGCAAUGGGCGAAAGCCUGACGGAGCAACGCCGCGUGAGUGAUGAAGGUCUUCGGAGCGUAAAACUCUGUUAUUAGGGAAGAACAUAUGUGUAAGUAACUGUGCACAUCUUGACGGUACCUAAUCAGAAAGCCACGGCUAACUACGUG
rnacentral:rRNA from 1 species